rnacentral:misc_RNA from 1 species
AAAUAUUUGUCAAAGCCUAUACACAUCCCUGCUUAGGACUUGCUCUCCAUUUCCUCCAGCGACUUUCCCUUCGAAAAGGGCAAUCUGGUUCAAUCCAACAUCUCUGCCCUUUCCAACCUGAAUGUAUUCAUGGUGAGUAAUAUUCCCUUGCCUUAAUGUGGAGUUAAACCCAGCAAAUAUAUCUUCACUGAUAUUAAUUACUCGUGACGCCUUGCUAAUGCCACCUCGAGUUAUAUGAAACAUCCGAUCAAAAACAUCAGGAUGGCCAUAGUGCAUGCGGACUUUGAGAGGGUUUGCCAACACACGUUGAGCCAAGGUUACAAAGCUAGUCUCUUGAUUGGACAUAAACCAGGCCAACGAAGAGACACUUCCUGUAAAAACAUGUUCUCUUACACCGAGAAUGGUGGGAGGUCGAAUGCCAUGUUUUUUGGCUUGAAAUUCCUGAAGAAGAUUUCUCAUUUUCAUUGCCUCCUCAAGGUAGUUGUCCUGAUUCAUGUCAAUAGUUUGAAUAGCUUCCCCACGAGUAAAAACUAUAGAAUGGUUUUGGUUCUCAGGCUUCCCUUCUCCAAGCUUUGGAUCUCCAGGUAGUUUAAUUGAAUAUAUUUCCUGAUCUUUUCCAUGUACAUCAGCUUUAACAAGCUUCGAGUAAAAGUCCUUGGAAGCCAUUCCAUCAGCAGUGGCACUUUCCUCCACAUGUAUGAAUGCAACUCGAAGCGCCUCAUUCCUCUGCAACAAAAGAGCAAUAUCUGCAGCCUCUUUGUCCUUCCGUUGCUUUUGUUGCCCAUAAAUUUGGCAAGAAACCACGUAAGUGAAUUUUAAGUCAGCUUGUGCCCUUGAUUCACGUGAUAAUUCAAAACCUUCAGUGGCAAAGAAGCCUGUUUGAGAAUGAUCAUCCACUCCUAAUGAUCUCCUUUCCAAAUAACUCUGCAACAUUAAAGCCCUUCUAUAAUACAUCAUUCCUCGUACAGUCCGAGCAAGAGUCUGCCCUCGAUAGGAUGCCCAAAAACGAAGCUCCAAAGUAUCACUAGAGUUUUUUUGAAAAUCAACGUCCUCAGAAGACUCUCCUCUACCAAUCCGUUCCAGAAAAUUCUCCCAUUCAUCUGGGAAAAUUUUCUGAAGAUAGAAAAGGAUUGAUAUCCCAUCCUCAUUUUCAUCUCG